CCAUCGCACAAUCCUCGGGAAAACGAGGAAAAAUAAUGCGGAAUACGCAAACGGUAUAAAAAAAAUGGAUAUUGUGAGGCUGGGAGGGUUUACAAGUAAACAAAAGCUUGUGUAUAAGGAGCCGACGAAGGGCGAAUGGUCGAUGCGUUAGCUAAACUACUCUUUCACAAUGCUAAAAACAGAGGCGAUUCUACCCGCCAGGCAAACCACCUUGUUCUACAACUUAACUGUAGUCUUUCUUGUUUUAAUUACCAUUUAAUGUAAGAUUCAUUUUUUUUAUUAUUCUAAAAAUGUUCAAAACAGGCGAACCUCAAACUAGGGCACAAUGGCUGUUUCGCCGCAGACCACGCAAAGCUAUUUUAUUAAAUGGCUCGUAAUCUGUUUAUAGUUAUAACUCUUAGGAAGGUACUGUCUGCUGUUUUCGUUUCUGUGUGUCUUCGUUAUUGUUGUUAAAUCUUUAAAGCUAUAAAUCAGCACAAGGUUGACAAGGACAAGGUUGUACACGGUCCAUUUUUUUCUCUGAAGAAACGCUCAAAACAUCAGCGCAACUUCUCUGUUUCCAUAGGCCUACAACAUACUAUCAACCUUGUGUUGAUUAAUAGCUUGUCUACACCACUUCGCAUCUAGUUUUUUUUUUUUUUUACAGCUUUUCAGUAGUCUUUCUAGUUAUACCUUCUAUGAAGGCACAAUUCUUGCGUUUUCAAAUAUCCACAAACUAUAAAAAGGCUGUUAUUCAGUUGGCCCUUACUUGUCCAUUUCCUUCUACUUUUGUGUUUCGAUGAUAACGAAUGCUACAAACAUUUGCUCUACGCGCGCAUUGGCAGAUUUGGAAGUUGGCGGCGGCAAGAUCUGUGAAGCGUUCAUCAAAGCUGCGUGAUACGCAAAACGGGGAAUGCAUUUUAGCCUGGACGUAGACAUCUAGCUGACUAGCCCAGGCGCGUAUACCCAAGGAUUUGCUGAGGGGGUGCGGGGUUGCGCGGUCAAAAAAAUCCAUGGAAAAAGGAUAGUAUCCUUUAAUAAGAUAUCCUUUCACUCAAAUGUCAUGUUUCGUUUUAAACAUAUGGAGAUUCUGACUUCCCGGAGGAUUUAAUUGUGAUGGAACAGCGAAUCUUCAAUAAGGAUUUAAUUGUGAUGAUAGAGCGCAAAUCUUUGAAAUAACAAUUUUUUUCAUGCAUGCUUAAAUAGAGCCCAAUUUUUAAAGCCUAUCCCUUCUCUGGAAUUCUUUGCCCUUUCAGGUUUAUGAUUUAUUUGUGAUGCUAGUAAGUAUGACGAUUAUUCAAUUCUAGGAAAGGCCUAUCAGAGCACUCAGGUGGGCUUAAGUGUUUGGAUGGGAAGAGCACAGAUGGAGAAGAGAAUGAAACGAUUUGCCGUUGUUUUGUGUCAUGCGCGUCAUGCAACUCGGGACGAGGAAUGCAAGAAAAUAAGUUUAGUUAAACCAGCCCACCUCGUUUUCACAUUGAUUUGAUUGAUUGAUUUGAUUCUAUGACGUAAAACUAGAGAAAAAAUAGCCAAAGAUUGGGUUGAUGUGUGUAGAAUAGUGUUCAAAGUUGUGUUCAUUUGAAUCUCGUCAUUUGUCACCAGCUGCGCAAUAAAGACACUGCAAGAUAAUUUGCUUAAAAUAGCAGUUGUUACAGUGUUAAAGGUGUCAAAUGUGAUGUAUUGCGAAUCAUUGCGACGUUGAAAGGGCGGUUAAGAGAAUGUUCAAUGGUCUAUCUUACUAGGUUCCUCCGCGUCUCGAUAAUACUGUGUGUCGUUGCUGAUACGCUGGUAUUUCUAGAAAGGCAGAGCUGAAGAGCGCGAAAAAAACACCACGAGUUUUUUAGCAUUAGCAAGUGAUUUUGAAAAGACUUCCGUCAUCCAGCAAAGCAAACAGAUACUUUGGUGAUGACUUGGUUUGUUAUGUGUUAGUUCAAACGCCUAUACUGGCAUACGUGACUGUCUAUAUGCAAAACACUUGGCAAAAUAGGUUGAUGUAUCCCAAUUAGUCCGAAAGGUAUCAGCAAGUGUUAAUGAACAAGUGUGUUUCACUAUGGAAGAGAUUUUCAAGGAAGCACCCAAUAAUACUCCACCUCUAGUUGCGCAUGAGUUCCCUUUAUAAAAUUCUGACGAAUCAUGGGGCAGAUCAAGAAGCUUUAAAAGACUUCACUUUUCUCACAGAGGCAUGAGCUACAAGACAUUAGGAGGUGCACAAUGAAACUUUGCCAGAUGUCAUGUCUCCUUCCUUUUCUACUUGGGAUCAACUCAAUUUGUGGCCGAAUACCCUGAGCAGUGUUUCGCAGAGAAGUCGACCAUUGCCUAGGUCGCUGUAGUGGCAAGCCUGUAUGAGUGCUUGUGGCCCAGAUGCGGCAAGCUGCGAGAUGUGUAGCUUGAGCGCUGAUGGCUGUAGAGUGGGCUGUUUCGCUAAGCGCUCCCUGGAGCGAAAUGGAAAGAUUCAGAGCAGCCUCCCCGCAGCACGUUCAAUGACUGAGAAAAGUCCUUGUACCGAGUCUGCGAGCGGACAGGCCUUGGGACAGGGGGGCGGAGUUACAAGGAGUUUGUGUCAGUUAAUGAAGUCAAUGGAGUUCCACGGCAGCCUCUACUAGUGAUCUUGGGAGGUGAAUCAGGAAAGGAAGAAAGUGGCCUGAUUUUUCCUCUAAAGAACGGCAAGACGAAGAAUAGCGAGCGGCUAAACAAAGUGGGGAAAGAAUAAGCAAAGACGCCACUUGAAUUGUCAUCAUGAAAAAGCCUCUCUGACAUCCCUGCAGUCUUGAAAAGAACGUAAGAAGUCGUACGUGUAAACUAAAGAAAACACCGUCAUUUUGCUUUAAUAACUUUGAUAUCAAAUGUGAAAUUAGGUAAACCAUACAAUAUGAGUUGAAAACUGUGUCGCAGAGCUUUCUAGGUUUAGUGGUGAUACACUCGUGAAACAAAUGUCAAUAAAAAUAAAAUAUAUUCAACAAUGAUAAUAGUAAA